rnacentral:rRNA from 1 species
GAGUUUGAUCCUGGCUCAGGAUGAACGCUGGCGGCGUGCCUAACACAUGCAAGUCGAGCGAAGCGCUAUACUUGAAUUCUUCGGAAGGAAAGUAUUGUGACUGAGCGGCGGACGGGUGAGUAACGCGUGGGUAACCUGCCUCAUACAGGGGGAUAACAGUUAGAAAUGACUGCUAAUACCGCAUAAGACCACAGCACCGCAUGGUGCGGGGGUAAAAACUCCGGUGGUAUGAGAUGGACCCGCGUCUGAUUAGCUAGUUGGUAAGGUAAGGGCUUACCAAGGCGACGAUCAGUAGCCGACCUGAGAGGGUGACCGGCCACAUUGGGACUGAGACACGGCCCAAACUCCUACGGGAGGCAGCAGUGGGGAAUAUUGCACAAUGGGGGAAACCCUGAUGCAGCGACGCCGCGUGAGUGAUGAAGUAUUUCGGUAUGUAAAGCUCUAUCAGCAGGGAAGAAAAUGACGGUACCUGACU